rnacentral:rRNA from 1 species
GCGCACCAGGCGCGAAACUUCACACUGUGCGAAAGCACGAUGAGGGAAUCCCAAGUGCUUGCACGUAAGUGUAAGCUGUUUCUCUGUCUAAACGCAGAGAGAGUAAGGGCUGGGUAAGACGGGUGCCGAGCCGCCGCGGUAAUACCUGCAGCUCAAGUGGUGACCGUUAUUAUUGGGCCUAAAACGUCCGUAGCCGGUUUAAUAAAUGCCUGGGUAAAUUGUGUAGCUUAACUAUACGAAUUCCGGGUAGA